UUGGAUCACAGAGACGAUAUUUUAUACUGGCGGGUACACGCAAUAAACCAUAGCCAUUGAGAUUACAAGAGAGGAAGGUUUACAGCCGUCAGAUAUCAUAAUUAUUUUUUUGGUUUUAAUUAUAAGCAAACGCGUGCGUACAGUGUUGUCUGAUUUAAUUAUGACUAAUUUGCAUUGAACUGCUGUCAUGGUCUCGAGAUAAAUCACUAAUUUCCUCUAAUCUCAAACUGAUACGAAAUCUUAAACAGUUACUGAAAAAGUCAGC
rnacentral:lncRNA from 1 species